GGAUGUGAUGAUAGUAAUUGUCGCCCCAGUCUUAAUUUGCACCAAUGGUGUAAUAUGGUGACUGACACUUUAUCUGAUCC
rnacentral:snoRNA from 14 species